rnacentral:rRNA from 1 species
CGUAACAAGGUUUCCGUAGGUGAACCUGCGGAAGGAUCAUUGUUG